CCAUAUGAAAUUAAUGAUUUGAGAAAUCAAUUCAUGUGCCGAAUUUUCAUUUAGUAAAAGUGGUAACUCUAAGGACAAUAAUAAUACAUAGAUUAAUAGUUCAGGCACUACAUUAAACAUUUUCACAUUUUAUAAGAAUAUAAAUACCAAAUAAUAUAUAAAAUAAUAAUUUAAGUAUAACAUUAGGCAUUUUCAAAGUACAUAUAUCACAUUGAAGAUUUUAUGAAAGUCUACAUCAAAACUUAAGCACUAAAUGGAAUAUUUUCAAAGUGCAAAUAACAUUAUCUUAGUAUAUUUUUGUUAUCGGCCCGUUCGCAUUUGGGCGAUUAUUGAGAUUGAGCCCAUUAAUCUGCCCAUCAAAACGCCAGCCUUUAAAGCUUGGAACAUCAGGCCUGACCCUGCUCAUUCUCGACUCCGUUAUAUCACUGACUCACUUCACCAGCAAUAAACUCCACUUAUAUAACCAAUUGAUAUUGUGGCAUCUUAUUACUCAUCUGAUAUUAACACUGAUUAAAUAUUUACUUCAUAUUAAUAUUAUUAUCAUUAACACGUCUAAGAUCCAUUCUUUAAUUUUGAAAAUUAAACUAAUUUUGAUUACUAAUAAUAAUUAAAAAGUUUUUAAUAAAACAUUAACAUGUAGCCGUAGGGACAAGCAAAUUAAGGUCCCAUGGUGGUUAAGAAAGUUCAUAUUUAAUUUUUAAGACUUUCAAAAUAUUUUUAUUUACUUUAUUUAAAACAUUAAUUAUUUCAUUAAUAAAAUGUGGUUAAUUUAUAAUAUAUAAAAAUCACAUACCGUCAGUUUCAAAAAGAAAAGUUACAUGCUGUCAAAUGUCAAUGUAUGCUCAUAUAGAGAUUGCCUCUAGCAAAACGAGGAACAAGUGAAUUCUAAUCUAGUUAUGAUCAAGGGUUAGAUAAAGGCUGUGUUUCUUCUUUCGGGGGUCUUUGUUUAUAUUUCAGCUUCUUUUUUCUGUUAAAAACACAUACAUGCUUUAAAUAAGCGAACAUAAAUAUAUCAGCUACCAUCUGAUCUGAAAUUAAUUAAUUUUUGUUUCCAGGUUCCUUGUUAUAAAAUACAAGAAUGUCAUACAUUUAAUUCUUUACUCAGAGUAAUGCAGAAAGGAGAAAAAGGAAAAAUACCAAGAAAGUAAACACCAUACGUAGGGCUGGGUUGUCAAGGCCAUAUGCAAGGGCGAUGAGCUAUUUUCCAAGUGUACGCAUCCUCCUCCUUGCCCGUGGGCAUCCAAAUGCAGCCUUGGUGUCUCACAUCAUGGUUGCUGUCUUCAAUCUCUACCUUGUUCGACAAAAGAUCAUGAUUUUGACAUCUGAUCAUAAGCGCCUUCACUAACAAAAUUAAAGAAGCCAUGCUUUCCUCAAUUGCGUCCUGCGCACUAUCAACCAAUGUCAUUUCUAAUUAGCUUCUCGGCCACUCCCCUAAUAUAAAAUCCUUAUCUC
rnacentral:lncRNA from 1 species